CCUACGGGUGGCAGCAGUCGAGAAUCAUUCACAAUGGGGGGAACCCUGAUGGUGCGACGCCGCGUGGGGGAAUGAAGGUCUUCGGAUUGUAAACCCCUGUCAUGUGGGAGCAAAUUAAAAAGAUAGUACCACAAGAGGAAGAGACGGCUAACUCUGUGCCAGCAGCCGCGGUAAUACAGAGGUCUCAAGCGUUGGUCGGAAUCACUGGGCGUAAAGCGUGCGUAGGCUGUUUAGUAAGUCGUGUGUGAAAGGCGCGGGCUCAACCCGCGGACGGCACAUGAUACUGCGAGACUAGAGUAAGGGUGCGGGAACCGGAAUUCUUGGUGUAGCAGUGAAAUGCGUAGAUAUCGAGAGGAACACUCGUGGCGAAGGCGGGUUCCUGGACAUUAACUGACGCUGAGGCACGAAGGCCAGGGGAGCGAAAGGGAUUAGAUACCCCAGUAGUC
rnacentral:rRNA from 1 species